rnacentral:rRNA from 1 species
GACGAACGCUGGCGGCGUGCUUAACACAUGCAAGUCGAGCGGUAAGGCCCUUUCGGGGGUACACGAGCGGCGAACGGGUGAGUAACACGUGGGUGACCUGCCCUCAGCUCUGGGAUAAGCCUGGGAAACCGGGUCUAAUACCGGAUAUGACUCCAUGACGCAUGUUGUGGGGUGGAAAGCCUUGUGCGGCUGAGGAUGGGCCCGCGGCCUAUCAGCUUGUUGGUGGGGUGAUGGCCUACCAAGGCGACGACGGGUAGCCGGCCUGAGAGGGCGACCGGCCACACUGGGACUGAGACACGGCCCAGACUCCUACGGGAGGCAGCAGUGGGGAAUAUUGGACAAUGGGCGAAAGCCUGAUCCAGCGAUGCCGCGUGUGUGAAGAAGG